rnacentral:siRNA from 1 species
UAAAAGGGAGUUGUCAACUUCAGU